GAUGAACGCUAGCGGCAGGCUUAACACAUGCAAGUCGAGGGGCAGCAUAAUGGAUAGCAAUAUCUAUGGUGGCGACCGGCGCACGGGUGCGUAACGCGUAUGCAACCUACCUUUAACAGGGGGAUAACACUGAGAAAUUGGUACUAAUACCCCAUAAUAUCAUAGAAGGCAUCUUUUAUGGUUGAAAAUUCCGAUGGUUAGAGAUGGGCAUGCGUUGUAUUAGCUAGUUGGUGGGGUAACGGCUCACCAAGGCGACGAUACAUAGGGGGACUGAGAGGUUAACCCCCCACACUGGUACUGAGACACGGACCAGACUCCUACGGGAGGCAGCAGUGAGGAAUAUUGGUCAAUGGACGCAAGUCUGAACCAGCCAUGCCGCGUGCAGGAUGACGG
rnacentral:rRNA from 1 species